UACGUAGGCAGCGAGCGUUGUUCGGAGUUACUGGGCGUAAAGGGUGUGUAGGCGGUUGUUUAAGUUUGGUGUGAAAUCUCCCGGCUCAACUGGGAGGGUGCGGCGGAGACUGGAGUGCUAGAGUGUGGGAGAGGUAAGCGGAAUUCCUGGUGUAGCGGUGAAAUGCGUAGAUAUCUGGAGGAACACCGGUGGCGAAGGCGGCGUUCUGGACUGUAACUGACACUGAGAAACGAAAGCCAGGGUAGCAAACGGG
rnacentral:rRNA from 1 species